CAAAUUGUUUCACGGAUUUUGCACUGUCUCACCUUCUAUAAUUUUACGUGUGCCUUCCACCAUGAGUGGGGCCAGGCUUUAUUCUUCUUUCAACCCUUCUUCUCUCUCACUUUCUUCUCAUUUUCCUACACACCGCGCCACACUGAGGCAGGCCUUCUUUCCUGUGAUUUAUGCGCUUAAUAAGCACUCAACAGCUUUCAAUAAGUGAGAAUGUGAGAUAAUGAAAAAAUUGCGAGAGGCAUGGGGGGUGCAUCUGUGGUUUUGGCCUGUCUUUGGAAUCAUCAAUUGUAACUAUAAGUCCAUUCCUUGAGCCACUGCAGCUACCAGGGACAGAUAUCGUAUAGGUCAUUCUUUCUGAAAGCAAGAGAUGUACCUGAAGAGCGAAAAGGACGUGUUACAAUCAUUGUUAUUGAUGAUGAAUGAGUACGUAGCCUCAUCAAAACGGAAGAGUGCCAUAAAGAAGCUUAGGACGCCUCCCGAGCCUUUGAUGAAAAACGUAUUGAUUAGGGCACUAGGGCUAAUCAAAGCUGGAAAGUGUGAUGAAGCAGAAAGACAGUUGCAAGAUAUGUACUUGUUAAUGUCAUGGUGAAAGGAGGAAACUCGGAGUCUGCAAACAAAGUAUAGAUGGGAUUAGUACCAAUUCUCAUUUUCCAGGUAAGUACCAAGAAGCUGCUAAGGGCUGGUUUGGUAUUGCUGUGCUUUGAAAAAAAGCUGCUGUGAGAAUAAGCGGCUGUGCUGUGAGAAUAAGCGGCUGUGA